GACGAACGCUGGCGGCAGGCCUAACACAUGCAAGUCGAGCGCCCCGCAAGGGGAGCGGCGGACGGGUGAGUAACGCGUGGGAACGUACCCUUUGCUACGGAAUAGCCUCGGGAAACUGGGAGUAAUACCGUAUGUGCCCUUCGGGGGAAAGAUUUAUCGGCAAAGGAUCGGCCCGCGUUGGAUUAGGUAGUUGGUGGGGUAAUGGCCUACCAAGCCGACGAUCCAUAGCUGGUUUGAGAGGAUGAUCAGCCACACUGGGACUGAGACACGGCCCAGACUCCUACGGGAGGCAGCAGUGGGGAAUCUUAGACAAUGGGCGCAAGCCUGAUCUAGCCAUGCCGCGUGAGCGAUGAAGGCCUUAGGGUUGUAAAGCUCUUUCAGUGGGGAAGAUAAUGACUGUACCCACAGAAGAAGCCCCGGCUAACUCCGUG
rnacentral:rRNA from 1 species